AUUGAACGCUGGCGGCAGGCCUAACACAUGCAAGUCGAACGGUAACAGGAAACAGCUUGCUGUUUCGCUGACGAGUGGCGGACGGGUGAGUAAUGUCUGGGAAACUGCCUGAUGGAGGGGGAUAACUACUGGAAACGGUAGCUAAUACCGCAUAACGUCGCAAGACCAAAGAGGGGGACCUUCGGGCCUCUUGCCAUCGGAUGUGCCCAGAUGGGAUUAGCUAGCAGGUGGGGUAACGGCUCACCUAGGCGACGAUCCCUAGCUGGUCUGAGAGGAUGACCAGCCACACUGGAACUGAGACACGGUCCAGACUCCUACGGGAGGCAGCAGUGGGGAAUAUUGCACAAUGGGCGCAAGCCUGAUGCAGCCAUGCCGCGUGUAUGAAGAAGGCCUUCGGGUUGUAAAGUACUUUCAGCGGGGAGGAAGGGAGUAAAGUUAAUACCUUUGCUCAUUGACGUUACCCGCAGAAGAAGCACCGGCUAACUCCGU
rnacentral:rRNA from 1 species